AAAAAAUAAAGAGAUCAGCUGGAUUGAAUAAAAAACAAUAUGAAAAUGUUUUGUUGCUAAAUAAGCUGAAACAGUUUAGUGUCCUAUGCUUUUGAUUCUAGUAUAGAUCUCAUAAUCUUAAGGCCUAAAGUUCCUGGGUCCCUCUAAAGUUUAACAUGGUGUCUUUAAACCAGUAUUCUCUGGAGAUGCUGUACAUUAUGAAAAUGCUAUCUGUUAAGCCACUGAUUGCGCAUUGAAUUAGUAACAGGGGUGUUUUGAGAUACAAUCAAAAUUGGACACCAAAAACUGGCAGAAGUCUUUGUAAGCCGUUUUUAAUUUUUAGUUGGACUGCGGAAAAGAUUUACAUCCCACAAAUUAGCUUGAAUUACAUCAGCGAAAAAGUGAGUCUGUAAAUUUUCUUAUGUUUUCUUUGUCUCUUAUUACAAGUCUCCGUGAAAUCAAAGUACAUCAUAUGUUUUACUCUCACACAAUAGUUUUAUAAUGGAAAUGGAAAUCCAUCACACUGCUUCAAUUUUGCAAAGAUUUUUGUAAGUUGUCAACCGUAUGAAAUGCCAAUGUUGUGCUGAAUUUUGACUCCCUGCCAGACUAUGACUCCCCUGUUGAAACUGGAACUGGUUAGCUAAUCCUAAACUUAACACUACUAACAAAUGGAGUAACCCCAGGGUGCACCCUGGACGAUGGGGCGGCCAUAUUUGUUCCCCCCGCCUUUGGCAAUUUCCUCCGACCCAGCAGGGGGCAGUUAGCGUUGAAACGGUGGCAACUGCGGUAGCAGAGUAAUCAUAUAAUAACCUUGUUGAUUGCAGGAGGUGAAAGCAAAGAGUAUAGAAGUUCUUUGGUAGAAGUGGUCAGAAAAAGUGGAAGCAACGGAUUUCAACGUGUAUGUUGCUAAUUCAUACGUGAUAGUGACCUGGCUUUCACUCCAUUCUUGUUUCCCUGGGUUGUCUUUUUCGGGAAUUCCGAAGCAGAUGGGUGGGAGCCACUGUUGGAUUUACAUACUAAUGAAUGAUGCCUCUGAUUAAUAGGUGGUGGUGUUCUGUUCUCCUGGACAAUCACUCAACCACUGAGGGGGGUCUUCACUAUUCAAAAUGCAAUGUCUUCAGGCAGAGUUCAGUGUAGCAGCUUCCUCUGGAAAUCUUUUCUGAACUCCUCUACUAUUUGACACUUUCUCUGGGAUGCAGAUGAUUUAUGGAUGUGGUCACUCAAGAAGUUUUUCGGAAAGCAGUGCAACACUUUGCAUGGCCAGACGAAUUUAAGGUGUGGCCAUCUGGAAGAAUUUCAGUCCUGUCUACUGGACAGAGUUUAGAUUGUGUACAGCAUCAGGGAUUGCUUGCAGUGCAGAGCCCUUUUCAAGUCAUACCCACCGGGGUAUAGGGGAAGAGGCCGACGUGGUGAACUUCUGGGCUUUUACUGAAAUUUUUGCACAGGAUUUUGCUUCCAGGACUGUUUUUUUGUGGGAGGAGACACAUUGGUGUGUUAAGCGAGAAUGAACUGAGAUCAACUGGUUUUGAUGUAUGAAUUUAUAAUUUAAAGUUAAACUUUGAAGUGUAUAGUGUUCUAAUAAAAAAAGCUAUGGCAAACACGUGCAUGAAAACAAGGUUUCAGUCAUUUACAUCAUAUUGUUCUUUAAGGUUUCUCAUAUUCCAUGUAAACAUAAUUUGCUAUGUAUUGCUUUAAGCAGGCAUGAAGUCCAUCUAAUUAAUCAAUUCUUAAUUUAGCUGUGACAAUUUUGUGUAAUAUUUCAAUUACCAAUGAUUUUAGAAAGUGUUUAAAGGGUUAUUAAAUGUAUUGUUUUUAAGUUUUUUAUAUAGAAAUGGGUGACUACAUUCAGGAUUAAUAAUAAUGUUUUCAGUAAUGCAGUUCAGAAAUCAAAUACGAUCUAGUUACUUCCUUGCGAAAAGUAAUUUUUAUUGGUAAGAUUGACCAUUUUAAAAAGUAAGGUUUUAUUGUUGUAAAAGUCUUUGUUGGCAUAUGGAUUACCAUGUGUUACACAAACACAUUUUAUAAAUAUUAUGUGUGUGUUUGAAUAUAUUAAUCAAGGUACAUCUACAUAACCAUGCUUCGCAUUAUAUUGUCGUGUCACUUACAAAAACCAGCGAGUAAUGUCGAGGUAACCUUAGUGUCUGAGGGUGUCAGCUGUUGAGGGAGUAAAUUAAACCAUUUAUUUAUAUUCUGUUCGUCGUAAUCCUCAAUUCUUUGUAUAUCUGUUUUCAUGAAAUGUUGUGGAAUUGCAACAAUAAACGCAAAAACACAA